rnacentral:tRNA from 1 species
GAUGUAGCUCGAUGGCAGAGCAUCUCCUUUGCUUGCAGAAGGUCCCAGGUUCAAUCCCUGGCAUCUCCA